rnacentral:rRNA from 1 species
GACGAACGCUGGCGGCGUGCUUAACACAUGCAAGUCGAGCGGUAAGGCCCUUUCGGGGGUACACGAGCGGCGAACGGGUGAGUAACACGUGGGUGACCUGCCCUUAGCUCUGGGAUAAGCCUGGGAAACUGGGUCUAAUACCGGAUAUGACUCCAUAACGCAUGUUGUGGGGUGGAAAGCCUUGUGCGGCUAGGGAUGGGCCCGCGGCCUAUCAGCUUGUUGGUGGGGUGAUGGCCACCAAGGCGACGACGGGUAGCCGGCCUGAGAGGGCGACCGGCCACACCUGGGACUGAGACACGGCCCAGACUCCUACGGGAGGCAGCAGUGGGGAUCUUGCGCAAUGGGCGAAAGCCUGACGCAGCGACGCCGCGUGGGGAUGG